CAGCUGUAAACGAUGCGCGUUAGGUGUAUCGGUGACCACGAGUCACCGAGGUGCCGAAGAGAAAUCGUGAAACGUGCCGCCUGGGAAGUACGGUCGCAAGGCUGAAACUUAAAGGAAUUGGCGGGGGAGCACCACAACAGGUGGAGCCUGCGGUUUAAUCGGACUCAACGCCGGGAAGCUCACCGGAUAAGACAGCUGAAUGAUAGCCGGGUUGAAGACUCUGCUUGACUAGCUGAGAGGAGGUGCAUGGCGUGUGACUGU
rnacentral:rRNA from 1 species